GAUGAACGCUAGCGGCAGGCCUAAUACAUGCAAGUCGAACGGUCCGCAAGGAUAGUGGCAAACGGGUGCGUAACGCGUAAGCAACCUGCCCCAUACCGGGGGAUAGCCUAGCGAAAGCCGGGGUAAACCCGCAUAGUCCCUUUCUGUUUCAUGACGGGUCGGGUAAACAUUUAUGGGUAUGGGAGGGGCUUGCGUCUGAUUAGUUAGUUGGCGGGGUAACGGCCCACCAAGACGUUGAUCAGUAGGGGUUCUGAGAGGAUUGGCCCCCACAUGGGUACUGAGAUACGGACCCAACUCCUACGGGAGGCAGCAGUAGGGAAUAUUGGGCAAUGGAGGCAACUCUGACCCAGCCAUGCCGCGUGCAGGAUGAAGGCGCUCAGCGUCGUAAACUGCUUUUAUCUGGGAAGAACUGCGGGGAUGCGUCCUUGUUUGACGGUACCAGAGGAAUAAGCACCGGCUAACUCCGUG
rnacentral:rRNA from 1 species